rnacentral:rRNA from 1 species
AUUGAACGCUGGCGGCAUGCCUUACACAUGCAAGUCGAACGGCAGCACGGGCUUCGGUCUGGUGGCGAGUGGCGAACGGGUGAGUAAUGUAUCGGAACGUACCAUUGAGUGGGGGAUAACGUAGCGAAAGUUACGCUAAUACCGCAUAUUCUCUCCGGAGGAAAGCAGGGGACCGCAAGGCCUUGCGCUCUUUGAGAGGCCGAUAUCAGAUUAGCUAGUUGGUGGGGUAAAAGCUCACCAAGGCGACGAUCUGUAGCGGGUCUGAGAGGAUGAUCCGCCACACUGGAACUGAGACACGGUCCAGACUCCUACGGGAGGCAGCAGUGGGGAAUUUUGGACAAUGGGGGCAACCCUGAUCCAGCCAUGCCGCGUGAGUGAAGAAGGCCUUCGGGUUGUAAAGCUCUUUCGGCCGGGAAAAAAUCGCAUGGAUUAAUACUCUGUGUGGAUGAUGGUACCGGAAUAAGAAGCACCGGCUAACUACGUGCCAGCCGCCGCAGUAACAC